rnacentral:tRNA from 1 species
GGUCGGUUAUCUCAGUUGGUGAGCGCGUGGUGCUGAUACCGCCAUGGUCGCGGGCUUGAUCCCCGCACCGGCCC